GAUGGUUAGACUUCAGAUAGUUUCGUGCUCUCGUAGAGAGUGGAGGUUCCUUCGCUUCUGCAUCGGAUCGUUCAUUGUAAUUUUCCAAUAUAGUGGAAGCAGAGAAAGGAGCAAUAGGAAAUAGAAGCCUUAGUCAACGCUUUUAGUCGUGCGUGUUGUAGUUGUAACCCCGUCGCAUCGGAUUACCAACAAAGUGCAUACGCGGGUGAAAACUAAAGAAUUCUUGGAGAAUUCUUGAAGAAGUCUUGAAGACAAAAGACAGUGUCCGUGAACUUAACGAAUUAUUGGUUUUCGCGUUGAUGAUUUGUCUUCUCGCAUUUCUUGUGUCGCACGCGCCGUUUAGGAGGUGCCAUCGUCCCUUUUCAAAGGAGACCGCCGCUUCGGAGCAUUCGCGUUUAGUUGGCGCGUCGUUGCCGCAUUGUCGUGACGCGAUUCGUCGAGCGUACUGUGGCUCGCAGCCAGUCAGAAUAGCUGGCGAAUGGCACGGAGUGGUGAGAGACUAGCAGUGAGGGGAAGAAAGUGAGUGUAGUCAGUUCGCGUACAGACAUUCUGAACAGUGGAUCGCUUCAAGUGUUCCUCUGGAUUUUCAAAGAGCAUAAGAAGAGAAAAACGAAUUAACGUACGUAUCGCGAAACAAUGUACGGAGAACUAUAUAUGAUAGUAUGUCGAUAGCUAGUGAUGCUUCUCGUCGAGACCGUGUCCGUAUGGAGUUUGUUUCGUGAACGAUACUCGUAAUUAAAUUCGAACACUGCGCAAAACGAAGAUUUGGUUCGCAGUUGAUGGAUACGAAGAUCAUCGCAGCACGGAAUAGUCGUUCGAGACUGCCACAUCAUUCGACCGAUACGCUCAUGCGAUCGUGUGAUCGAUUGAUCGCAUAAACUGGUGACGCUGGAAACGUGCGUGAACGCUUAGCGAUUCAUUCUUACGGAGUGUCUUAAUAGUGAUUAUUAUCAGUGACUUAGAGAAUUUGCGAUUGACUUUCAUGUCAUCGCUUCGUGGACAGAGGUGAACUUAAAGAAAAGACCAGUGGUAAUUUGGACACGAGUUUAUCCCAGUGUGAUAGAUUGACAUUUUCGGCGUGCCCCGUUGAUUUUCUUGACGUCGAACGGUAUCAGAAAAGGGCAGCAAACUGUACGGGCACAGGCAAGAAGAGAUGCACACGAUGGAGACGGACUUGAAGGGCGGCAGUCUGCAUGCUCAGAUGCCACCGCAUCCACAUCAGGGUGUAUCACCGAUGGGCCAUCAUACAGGGAUGUCUCCUUAUGGAUCUUUAGGCUCGAUAGUUCAUAGCUCUGCACUGUCGGGAAGUCCACCCAACGCGGGUGGCUUGAGUCUUGGUCUUCAACAUCAUCACCAAACUUCUCAGCAUCAUUAUGCAAUGUCAGCUGCCGCCGUCGCCGCCGCAGCUGUACAACAGCAGCAGCAACAACAGCAACAACAGAGCAUGCACGCAAUGGCGGUCCAACAGAGCGCUCAGCAACAGCAACAUCACGCUCAUCAGCAAUCUCAACAGCAGCAGUCGCAAUCACAGCAACAUCAUCAAGCUAAUAAUCAUAGCAAUCCAAAUAAUCCUAACAACCCCAACAAUUCUUCCAACGCCAAGAAUAAUAACAUGGAUCGCGUAAAGAGGCCGAUGAAUGCUUUCAUGGUAUGGUCGCGUGGGCAGCGACGUAAAAUGGCUCAAGAAAACCCCAAAAUGCACAAUUCUGAAAUAUCGAAACGCCUUGGUGCCGAAUGGAAACUUCUCAGCGAAGGGGAAAAGCGUCCGUUUAUCGACGAAGCGAAGCGGCUGCGUGCUGUUCAUAUGAAGGAGCAUCCCGAUUACAAGUAUCGGCCGCGCCGCAAGACAAAGACGCUCGUAAAGAAAGACAAGUUCCAGCUCAGCGGAGUUGGUGGAGUCAGCGGAAUGCUCGGCGUGGAUCAACGGCAAGUGGGUACCAGUGGAGGACCUCAGCAACCGCAAUUGCCGCGUGACGUAUAUCAGAUGCCCAACGGAUACAUGCCCAACGGUUACAUGAUGUCUGAUCCGACAUCGUAUCAACAACACGUUGCGUAUAGCAGUCACAUGAGUACAGCAACCGCUGCCUCAACUGUGGCCUACCCCAGGUACGAUUCUAUGGGACAUCACAUCAGUGGCAGCAGUCCCAGCCCUAUCAACAUGAACGGCUAUGGCGGAUACGGCGGAUAUGGUGCUACUGUACCUGGCGGAUCACCAUCACCUUACCAUCAGGCUCAAACGGGUUCUCAAAUAUCCAGUAGUCAUAGUCCUAGUGGCAGCAGCAUAAAGUCCGAGCCGACGAGCCCGGCGAGCGGUGGCAUACACACACCGACGCCGACGGGCGGCCCAACGACGACGGGCGCGGCUGGUCCUGCCGGCCAGGUCAAGAGGGAAUACAUGGGACAGCAACAAGCGAACCAACAGACACAAGGCGAUCUUCGGCAGAUGAUCUCAAUGUAUCUGCCACAAGGCAUCGAGCAGGGAGUCGUGCAACACGGAAACGUCUAUCCACCGGGUCCAUCACCUGAUUCUUUGACGCAGCACCAUACCAUGCAGCCCAUUUCACACAUGUCAGAUAGCGAUCGUAAAAUGUUGAACCCAGAGACUGGCUGCUACUCCGAAUCCGUACGAGCAUGGGAUUGGAACGCGACGGGCAACGUACGCGCGCAGGAAUCCUGGCCGACGUGAACGACUCUCGCCGCGACAAUGUCGAACCAUUCCACCACCGAAGGAUCAGGCUCCUUGAUUGUUUCGCGCGCUACGAGCCGGGCCAUUGUGUGCAUCGAGACGCUGUUCGCGCGGAGCUACCCCAGCCCAGAACCAGUUAUGAACAUAUAAUUAAGCUCGUUUUAAUAAGUUUUUAUGUAGACCUUACGCGUAAGGAUGUAUAAUAAAAAUAAGUGUUGAAUAAACCAGAUACGUUGAGACAAAUGGC
rnacentral:misc_RNA from 1 species